UGAAAAGGGAAACAAAACAAUUUAAAAAGAUCCUGUUUAGGAGGCUCUGGGUUUAAUCUGGUAACCAGGCAACAGUGGAGCCUGGAUCCUCGCGAGGAGGGGGGAUCCAGCCUCACCGCAGAUUUUAAAUGUAGGUCACAUGAACGUGAAAGAAAGAGACAGGAAUUCACCAGGUGCCAAGACAAUCUCUGACUGUCAGCUUAUGGACCACUGAUAAAAAUGGACUUUUCAGACAGGCAUCAUUGGACAGAACAUGGACAAGUCCUCCGUCUUGCCUUUGCUGAAAACACACGUCAAUGACAUCUGGGGCCAGAUCAACAUAUGGCCCCGCGCCAAUAGCUGAAGGACCCGAUUAAUUCUGAAAAACAGGAAGGUUAAUGCUUCCCUUGAGCAAACAUUUAAUGCUGAUCAAAGUUC
ensembl:lncRNA